UGUGAGAUGUUUGAGGAACUAAAAGCACAAUCAUCUGAUGUUGAGGAGAAGGGCUGAGCAGCAGAGAGGCUGUUUCCUGCUUCACUUCUGCAGGAGGAGAACUCAUCUGCUGACUGUUCGACUUUACCAUCUCCAAAGACAUGUUGCUUUACCUCUGGUUACUCUUCUCUCUCUUCAUAGCCCUGGGCUCCAUGAACAGCAUAAAGCCAGAAAGAAGUGAAGAACAUGUUGCAGAGGGCAGAAACAUCAGCCUGACAUGUAAAUAUGAGGGGGCUAUCUACAAUAUCCAGUGGUACCGACAAUACCAGAGAUCCAGACCAGAGUUCCUGCUCUCCAUCACAGAGGCAGGAGGGAUCCAUCCCACUGAAUCUGAUUUCUCUGCUCACAUUGACAACACAGAGAAACGAGUUGAUCUGGAGAUCAUCUCAGCUAAAGAGACAGACUCUGCUGUGUACUACUGUGCUCUGACGCCCACAGUGACAGGAAACACCAACACUCUGUACAAAAACCUUUGGAGCAAAGACAACACAAUACUGCACAACAUCCACCAGAGGGAGUCUCUCUCUGUUAAACAUCAAUAGUUUACUGCCUUUGGAUCUGUUACCCAGGAGGAAGUGUAACUGAGAGAAGUGAAAUACAGAUCUAAGAGGAGACAGAGAGAUUCAGGGAGGAGCUAAGAUGUUCCUGAACUAUAGAAGAGAGAGGAACUUCCAUAUUC